rnacentral:rRNA from 1 species
AUUGAACGCUGGCGGCAGGCCUAACACAUGCAAGUCGAACGAGUGGCGGACGGGUGAGUAAUGUCUGGGAAACUGCCCGAUGGAGGGGGAUAACUACUGGAACCGGUAGCUAAUACCACAUACAAUAGGAUGUGCCCAGAUUGGAUUAGGUAGGAGGUGGGGGAACGGCUCACCUAGGCGACGAUCCCUAGCUGGUCUGAGAGGAUGACCAGAUCCACUGGAACUUAGACACGGUCCAGACUACUACGGGAGGCAGCAGUGGGGAAUAUUGCACAUUGGGCGCAAGCCUGAUGCAGCCAUUCCGCGUGUAUGAAGAAGGCCUUGGGGUUGUAAAGUACUUUCAGCGGGGAGGCGUUACCCGCAGAAGAAGCACCGGCUAACUCCGUGCCAGCAGCCGCGGUAAUAC